rnacentral:rRNA from 1 species
UACGAAGGGUGCAAGCGUUACUCGGAAUUACUGGGCGUAAAGCGUGCGUAGGUGGUUUGUUAAGUCUGAUGUGAAAGCCCUGGGCUCAACCUGGGAAUUGCAUUGGAUACUGGCAGGCUAGAGUGCGGUAGAGGAUGGCGGAAUUCCCGGUGUAGCAGUGAAAUGCGUAGAGAUCGGGAGGAACAUCCGUGGCGAAGGCGGCCAUCUGGACCAGCACUGACACUAAAGCACGAAAGCGUAAAAAGCAAACAGG